rnacentral:lncRNA from 1 species
AUUAAACAAAUUCCAAGAGGUUGUUCUUAUAAACCAUCUAACUCGGAAGCCUUAGUGUUUACAUAAGAGAAAGGUAUAUCGCGAAAUCGAGUGCCUUUUGCAAGGCUAUCAGCUCGGAAAAUAAUGGUUUUAUUUUUUCUAAAUUAGGUAUGUGAAUCCAAUCAUCUUCCUUUCUUAUGUAAAUGAAUCACACAAUUACUGUUUCAAGUAUUCAAGUAAGUGUUUCUAACUUCUCUGCAUUUUGUAAAACUUUUCGAUUCUUAAAUAGCUCAGAAAUUUGUAUCAUCUAUGCUAUAUGCUUGAUAAGCUACAAACCUUUAGUAGUUUGAUACAAACACUGGUAUGGCAUGCCAAAUUCAUUGGCAAUGUGUUCCCAAAUUAUAUCAGAUACAAUAAUUUGAAAAUCUGAUUUAAAAAUAUAUGUAAUGAUUUGUGAUGUAUAUAUAGUAGUGAUUCAUGUAUAUUUAUAUGCUAGUUAUUGGAUGUAUACUCAUUAUAUUCUUUGUUUAUCAUUGAGAAAGUAGAGUAACCAUUUUUGGAAGAAAUUUCAAUUUCUUUCUAUUGUAAGAAGAAAAUUAAGGGGUAGUAUUGGAUCCGUAGUAGGCAAAAAUAACUCGUCUGAUAGAGGAUGCUACCAAAUAAUCUUUCCAUCUAAUUUUAGUGUGGUUAUAAGAGAAACAAGAAUGUAAGAAAAAAAUUAAAUUCGAUGAAAAUAACUAAAAUUUCUUCAGUUUGUUUAUCCUUCCGUUUUUAGUGUCUUCUUGGAUAAUUAAAAUCUCGUCAACAAACUAUUUUAUUCUGGUAGUUUAACUACUAAAUUUCACAUGAAAAUCACUUAGUAUGGACUCACCAGGUGUAUCAGAUCCUUGAAGCAUAUUACAGUCAAUAUUUCAAGUUUAAUAUUAAGAUUGUAUACAUUUUUCUUUGUUUAACAUUAUUUAUUAUAUAAUUACAAGUUAAAUAUUAUAUAAAUAACUCUACAACCGACAAUUUUACAUUUCUUAAGAAGAUUUACAUUUGACUGUACCAUAAUUUUGAGUUGCUUUAUGAAAUUUUACGUUGGAUGAUUUCAGUUGCACUAUGCUGAAGAUUUCAUAUAAAUAUUUUUUCAUUAAUUUACAUAAUCGUUAAUAAACAGAAAUCUCAGAAACCCAAAAUUCAUAUCUCAUAGUACAGAAAUAUUAAUGAAUAUUCAGUUAAAUCACUAUACCAAAUAGUAUUUAAUUAUUGUUUGUUUAGAUAGUACAUAAUUACGUACAUUUGAGUCAUCUUUAUUUUAGAAAAUGUUCUAAACUACAUUUAGUUUUGAACAGCAUAUGUUAAUUUCUUAACAGGUAUAGAUUGGUUUUCCUAACAAUAUCAAAUAUGUUUUUUUUGUCAGCAGUAUCCAGACAUCAUUUAACUAUAUUACAUUUUCUUCAAUUAAAACAUUAAUUAAGGUUUGUGCUAGUAUUGUUGUUAUGUUUUCAACCAACUUCAAAUCCAAUCAUCCAUGCGGGUCGACAAAGGAGCCAUAUUUAGGUAUUUUCCUUAAUCGAUUUGCUUAAAGUCCUUUUCUAAUUUAAUUUAGAUUAUAACUUAAUGUCCUUUUCAAACGACAAACUCUAAACGCAGUUAGCAUCGCCUUAAUUUACUCUUAUAGUUCACAGUUUGCAUGUUUUUUUCUGGCAAAGUUUGCAAUUCAAUAAUUAAUAUGUUGUUUAAUAAAUGAGGAAAUGCAACUUCAUCCUUAUUAUUUUGGGUAUUUGAUAUCAAAGAUUCGCGGAGUGAGAAGAGAUGAGAUUUGUAGUCGUUACAAACAAUGCGUUUCUUAGUCUCCUGACGUUGAUCCAUGUGGAAGUGUACUCUUGUUCCUGAUUUCCAUAUGAAUUCUAAAUAAUUGAUAUGUUGUUUCGAAUUUCAGUAAUUAAACUUCUAAUUCCACUUCUACUAAAAUAUAAAAAAUAUAUUUUAUUCCACUUCUACUAAAAUAUAAAAACUAUAUUUUCUGUAACAUAUAUUUGUAUGUAAGUUACAAAAACAUAUUAUAUUCAUAUGUAAUUAGAUAUUCAACUAAAGGUAGUUUGGUUUAUAGUGGAUGUUUCAAUGGCCUCGAUUUCAUCGAAGUACGUAAUAGGGGAAUCGUCAGCCUUUUGGAGUGAAAGUUGUAAGCGUUCUAGAGAGUUUUUACAUGCAAAAAGAGUUCUUGGCCCUAAGGAUAUACACUUCCACGUAGAUCAAUGUCACGAGACGAAGCUCUAUAUAUACAGGUAGAGAAGCGCAUUGUUUGUAACGACUACAAAUCUCUUCUCACUUUGAAGAAAACCACGAACCUUUGAAAUCAAAUACCCAGAAAAUAAGAAUGAAAUUGCCUUUUCUCAUUCUCCUUCUGAUAGCGACGUGGUUUACAAAAAACGUUAUUUCUCCUUCUCCUGAAUCUCGACUACUUGAUAGAAGUGAUUUUCCAGAUGAUUUCAUUUUUGGAACUGCAACGUCGGCCUUUCAGGUAAUUUGAUAUUGUAACUGUAACAUGCAUCAAAAGAGAAGAUAGUACAUGAAAUAACUAGUCAGGUUAUAUAUCGAUUGUUUUGAGGUGUUGUUCAGCUUAAGAUGAUAUAUGGUUGCUUUUUUUGGUUGGUAUCUGAUACAUUUUUUAAUUUAAGUUUACAUUAUUUUUGAUCCAAGCCGUUAACAAACCGGGAUUAUUAAAGAUUGCAUGAUUAUAAUGGUAUUUGAUACAAUUUGUUCGUAAUGCAUGCUAUAGAAUAGACAAAUAUAAUUAUAAAGUCUAUUUAUUAUUUUAAUCACAUGUCCGUAUGCUCUUUUCUUUCUAAUUAUAAACUAGAUUUUGACCCGCUCUUUAAAAGCGCGGAACUAUUUUUUGUUGACAAAUUUAUUAACCCGUUUGUUUGUUCGUUAUAAGUUUAAGCAUGGGUGUUCGGUUUUUGGUUAUGUUCCAAUUUUUUCUUUUUAGUUUUGGUUCGGUUUUGGUUUGGUUGUGGUUUUGUUUUUUCGGUUUUUGUAGGUUUUUUUAUGAAUUUGGAAUUAGUUUCGGUUUGGUUAUUAUGGUUUUUGGGUGUUGUUCGAAUAACAAUGUUAAAAAUCUGAUAAAAUUUUGAGUUCAAUUAGGUUCAGGUUCGGUUCCCAUUUUUCGGAUAGUUUUGAAUAAUUCAGAUAAAAAAAUUAUUUUAAAUUUUUUUGAUAAAAUAUAGGAUAAAUUUAAAUAGUUUGGAUAAAAAUAUAUUGGUGAUUCAGUUCUAUAGGAGAGUUAGGAUAAUUUAAAAUAUUUUGGAUAAAAAGUAAUAGGAUAAUCCAAAUUUAUGGGUAGUUUAGUUUUUAAAUAGUACUUUUAGAUUAUUCGAUCAUUUUAAAACUAAAUAUAAUUAUUAUUUUAGAUAUAUAAAUUGUAUUUUGGAUAGUUCGGUUCUCAAUUUUCUUUCAAUUUGGUUUCAGUUUUUCUUUUACAAAAUAUAGGAAUUGUUAUUGAAUCGGUGUGGUUUUCUAUACUUUAAGUGGGUUUCUUGGGUUUAAUCUAAUUUUCUAAUGUUGGGUUUUCUAUGCUCAAGAAGGAAAUGCUCAAGAAGGAAAAAAGAAAAUCCAUUGGGUUUUCAGUUUUUCUUGGGUUUUCUACUAUUUUUGGUAUUGAUUACGAUUUAUAAAGUAUAGAAAAUUAGAUUAAAAUAUCUAAUGUUGGUUCAUAUAAAUUAAUAGAUAUUUUAAUCUAAUUUUCUAUACUUUAUAAAUCGUAAUCAAUACCAAAAAUAGUAGAUUUAUUAAUAUUUAGUAUUGCACAAGUUAUUGAGAGGAAUAUCUUCUUACAAAUUAUGGAAGUUGAUAUAUGCAAAAUCUCUCAUUAAAUACAAAAUUAUGGAAUUUUUCUAUAUCAAAUUUAAGGAAGUAAUUUAUUCCAGUAUAUUUAUAUUUUUCAAUUUUGGAAGCAAAUAAUAUUUUCAAAAUGAAAGCGCAAUAUACACAUCUUUUAUAAAUUAAAUAUUAAAAUCUUGUAUGAUAUUAAAAAUUCAAAUAUAUAUUUUUCUUACAAUUUAGUUAGGAUUAUUAUCAAAAUAUAUUGAAAUUAAGGAAGUUAUAUAUUUAAAUAUACUUAGAUUUUUUUUUAAAGCACAAAUCUUUUCAAAAUGUAAUCACAAGUUAUUCUUAUGAGUAGCCUCACACAAUAUUCAAAUCUUUUAUGAAUUAUAGAAUAAAAGUGUGAUAACUCAAAUGAGUCAAAUACUUAAAUUUUUUACAAUUUAUUUAGGAUGAUUAUACAAAAAUACUGUUAGCAUAAAAGAAUAUCUCGUAAACAAAGAACAAAAUCAAUUUUGUUAAAGAUAUCAGUUGAAAAACUGUUAUUCAACAAUAUUUUAAUUAUAAAACCAUGUAAAAUAGUUGUUAAAGAUAUUAUAUAGCAUUUUAACGCAAACCCUGAAUUAAGUUAAUGAAAAUCCAUGAUAUGAAAAUCUAAUAAUAUGAUCAAUGAUGGCCGAUGCUUCCAAAGUUAAUAACAUACCUUUUGAAACAGAAAUGUAACGACUAACGCCACAUGGCAAUGAUGCUUCCAAAGUGAAUAAGUUGCCUUUGAUGUCUGAUCAACGAAUGCCGUGUAUGACGAAAGAAAUGACACACAUAAUAAAACCCAAAGCAAACAGCAAGAACUUACUUUUUUUUUUUUUGGUAAAAUGAAGAACUUACUUUUUCACAAUUAGGUAAUGCCACAAUGAUGGCUAAUCCCAUUUAACAGCUAGAAGAAAUGUUCUUCUGACCCAAAUGCAGCUACGUCCUAAACCACAAAUUUUCAGAAUACCAAUUUCACAAUCUAAUUAAAUAUUUAAAAAUAUAUAUAUAUAUAUAUAUAUAUAACAAAACAUCAAACACCAAAGCCCUUUUUCAAAAAAAAAAAACAUCAGCAUUUUUUUGUCUAAAGGAAGGAUUUGCGUGGUUUUAACCAUAAGCUGAUAAACAAAAGAGCUAACUUUACAGUUGAAGUAAUUGAAAUUCCCUUAAUCAACUCGCUGAAAGAAACAUUAAAACCAUAGACGGACUCAAGAACAACACAUGCUCAACAUAUCAAAAGAUGCCAUCAAAUACUUUUACAAUUCAGCCACAGAUUUCACAAAUACCUUGUGGCCAAUUAAAGAAGAAUCUCUAGAGGAUUAAACAGUGCAGUCGUAAUUGGUGUCGGAGUCGUUGGUUUAGCGGUGGCUCGUGAGCUCCAGUCUCCAAAAUCAAGCCUAGAUUUCUUGCUGAAUUUUUCCACCAGAUUGGUACAGUUAAUAGAAAUAAUAUAGAUAAUUUUUUAUGCCUAAACGAUUUAGUUGAAAGGAAUAGAUAAAAGGCAAUAUCUUGUUUGUUAGAAAAAAGAUUUAGUGGAAUAAUAAUAAUAUAAUUAAAAAGCAUAGCUUUAAAAUAUUUCAGUGGCAGAGAUAUGUAAAUACUUCAAAACUUCAAGGUGACCUCAAAAAAACCCCUUCAGUUUUAAUAGUAUUGAUAGAUCCGGCAUACAUUCGUUUCUUUGUAAUCAUAUGCCGUAUACCUAUUUCUUUAUAAUCAUAUUUAUGUAUUCUAGAUCUUGAUUAUAAAGUUUAUUUAUUAUGUAUGGUAACAUAAACAAAAAGGUGUAGAUUUGAGGAAAACCAAACAAAAAAGGUGGAGGAUAAAAUCAUCAACGUCAUAGAACUUGUUAAUUUCUUUUAAAACUUUACCCAAAAAGAAAAAAAGAACAUCAAAAAAAUUGCAGUAUCUUUAUAAGACAAAUGACUUUAUAUGGCGUUUAACUUUCUUGACUAAUUUUACCCAAAACUUUUUUUAUAACUUUCUCCACUAUGUAAGUACGGCAGACGAUUCCAAGAAAAAUCUCAUGGGCCUCUCAGGUCAAAUUUAUAUAAAACAUUAAGUUAGGUUAGCUAUAAUGGGCCUCUCGUGAACUAUAGUAAUUUGGAAUCUCGUUUUUAUAUAUUGAUAAAUUAUCAUCUAUUCUAUUAAAAUAAUACCAUACCUAUUAAUAUAUGUUUAGUCCAACAAUUAUUUUGCCAUGUUACCUACUUAGAACCAUGUAACCUCUCCUCCUCCUUUAAUUCUCGGACCCGCACAACCUAAAUCCAAAACGUAAAUUACAAAACCAUUCAUUUUAUAUAAAACUAGUGGUUUUCCGGCGCUACGCGCCGGGUUCAUAUAUUUUAUUCUUAAAUGAAUUUAUAUUUUAUUUUAUAGUUUUUGUAAAGAAAAUAUGUUCAAAAAUAUGAAGAUGAGAAAAUAUGUUGAAAAAUAAUAUAUUUUCUGAUCCAUUUGAUAGUGGUUAGCGACCAUAGUGUAUAACUUUUUUUGAAGUUGCUUAGUUCAAAGUGAAAUAGCAUAAGUGGUUGUGACUGAUCGAUUAAAUAAAAGUAUAAUAAAAACCGAUAGUCGUAACAAAGUUAAUUUAGUUGAAAUUUAAACAUAAAAUACAGUUGAUAUUUGAGAAGGAAAAAUGUCAAUUUGUUUUUUGUGAUUAUCAUGUUUGAAGGAAAAAAAAUUGUUUCAUCCUAAUAAAAUAGUAACAAUCCUCACAUACUUUGUUUAUGUUGAAGAUGUGGCAAUUUUUUGGGACUUCAUUGUGACAGUAUAAGUUAUUUUCCCUCUUCAAAAUUUCUUCUUUAAUUUUGACAUUUUUCUUUUAAUUUUGAUUAUAUAUUAUGUUUAAAUUUACUUAGCUGUUUUUAAAAAAAUCAUUUUCGGGUACCGUUGAUGUUAUGAUACAUAACUUCAGUCUCUGUUAACUAAGUUUUUAUAAAAAAAUUCUUGAAUAUAUUGGUACUUUUAUUUACUAUUAUAAAUAUUCUCAUAAAUUUGAUAUAUACAUCCAUAAGAAUUUCGAAAUAGCUUUUUUUUAAACCUAAUUAUAUUUAUAAAAAAUAUAUCAUAAUUUCUUAGUUUUUAUCUAUGAUAGCUUUGUACAUCUAAUGAAAAUAAUAUGCCUAAUUUCUAUUAUUGUCUUGUUUAUAAAUAUCAUCUCUCUUGCAAUAAGAAUCUAUAUAUAUAAAGGGGGCUUUUCUCUCUUGGAACUUCUAUGUUUACUUCAUCAGUAGCUUCAAUGCAGGAGGUGAUGCAUCAGACCGAGAGAGAGGACACAGAACCAGUGGUGGCUAAAGCAGCAAGGAACUUGAGGGAAGGGAUCGUUAAGGGACGUUCUUUAUGGCAAUUGUUAUUCACAAUCACUCGCUUCUCCAAAACUGCCGCA